rnacentral:ribozyme from 14 species
CUUUUUUAUUUUAUUUAUUAUUAUUAUUAUUAAUUUUUUUUUUUUCCAUGCUGUCCAACAACAAAGAGAGAAGCGUUCAAGAAAGCACAAAAAGCAAUAAUAGUACACACAACAAAAAAUUAAUCAAAUCUCCACAGCUCCCUAUCAUCAUCAUUACUCCCAGGACUGUG